rnacentral:tRNA from 2 species
GCGAAAGUGGCGGAAUUGGUAGACGCGCGGGAUUUAGGAUCCCGUGGCUUGAUGCCGUGGGGGUUCGAGUCCCCCCUUUCGCA